GGCUUCGCAGUUCGCACACGGGGAGCUUGCUCCCAGAGAUGCUGCGAGGAAAGUCCCCGUGCCUUGGUGCAGAGAGCGCCUUGGUGCAGAGGGUGCGAGUGGGAGACCGCACGGCUCGUGCCAGACCUCCAGUGGUGAUGCUUCUCGUGGCGGGCGCGGGCCCUUAGCAGCAGCACAGACAUGCCGUGAGCGCUCAUGAUUGGAGCGCCAACAGAACGGGGCUCACCCUC
rnacentral:RNase_MRP_RNA from 14 species